UACGGAGGAUGCAAGCGUUGUCCGGAUUCAUUGGGUUUAAAGGGUGCGUAGGCGGAGAAUUAAGUCAGUGGUGAAAGCUUACAGCUUAACUGUAAAAAUGCCAUUGAAACUGAUUUUCUUGAGUUCGAUUGAGGUAGAUGGAAUGUAUCAUGUAGCGGUGAAAUGCUUAGAUAUGAUACAGAACACCAAUUGCGAAGGCAGUCUACUAAGUCGAUACUGACGCUGAGGCACGAAAGCAUGGGGAGCAAACAGGAUUAGAUACCCUGGUAGUCCAUGCCCUAAACGUUGAUUACUCGUUGUUGGCGAUACACUGUCAGCGACUAAGCGAAAGCGUUAAGUAAUCCACCUGGGGAGUACGAUCGCAAGGUUGAA
rnacentral:rRNA from 1 species